GACGAACGCUGGCGGCGUGCUUAACACAUGCAAGUCGAACGGUAAGGCCCUUUCGGGGGUACACGAGUGGCGAACGGGUGAGUAACACGUGGGUGAUCUGCCCUGCACUUUGGGAUAAGCCUGGGAAACUGGGUCUAAUACCGGAUAGGACUACGCGAUGCAUGUCGUGUGGUGGAAAGCUUUUGCGGUGUGGGAUGGGCCCGCGGCCUAUCAGCUUGUUGGUGGGGUGAUGGCCUACCAAGGCGACGACGGGUAGCCGGCCUGAGAGGGUGUCCGGCCACACUGGGACUGAGAUACGGCCCAGACUCCUGCGGGAGGCAGCAGUGGGGAAUAUUGCACAAUGGGCGCAAGCCUGAUGCAGCGACGCCGCGUGGGGGAUGACGGCCUUCGGGUUGUAAACCCCUUUCAGCACAGACGAAGCGUAAGUGACGGUAUGUGCAGAAGAAGCACCGGCCAACUACGUG
rnacentral:rRNA from 1 species